rnacentral:rRNA from 1 species
CCUACGGGUGGCAGCAGUGAGGAAUAUUGGUCAAUGGACGCUAGUCUGAACCAGCCAAGUAGCGUGAAGGAUGACUGCCCUAUGGGUUGUAAACUUCUUUUAUAUGGGAAUACACUGUUCCACUUGUCCUAUUUUGUAUGUCCCCUAUGAAUAAGGCUCGGCUAACUCCGUGCCAGCAGCCGCGGUAAUACGGAGGAUCCGAGCGUUAUCCGGAUUUCUUGGGUUUAAAGGGAGCGUAGGUGGAUUGUUAAGUCAGUUGUGAAAGUUUGCGGCUCAACCGUAAAAUUGCAGUUGAAACUGGCAGUCUUGAGUACAGUAGAGGUAGGCGGAAUUCGUGGUGUAGCGGUGAAAUGCUUAGAUAUCACGAAGAACUACGAUUGCGAAGGCAGCUUACUGGACUGCAACUGACACUGAGGCACGAAAGUGUGGGUAUCAAACAGGAUUAGAUACCCUUGUAGUC